CCUACGGGAGGCAGCAGUGGGGGAUAUUGCACAAUGGGGGAAACCCUGAUGCAGCGACGCCGCGUGUGUGAAGAAGUACUUCUUUAUUGAAAGCUAUAUCCGCCGGGGAGAAAAUGACGGUACCUGAGUAAGAAGCCCCGGCUGACUACGUGCCAGCAACCGCGGGAAUACGUAGGGGGCAAGCGUUAUCCGGAUUUACUGGGUGGAAAGGGAGCGUAGACGGCAGUGCGAGUCUGGAGGGAAAGGCGGGGGCUCAACCCCCGGACUGCUCUGGAAACUGUACGGCUGGAGUGCAGGAGAGGUAAGUGGAAUUCCUAGUGUAGCGGUGAAAUGCGUAGAUAUUAGGAGGAACACCAGUGGCGAAGGCGGCUUACUGGACUGUAACUGACGUUGAGGCUCGAAAGUGUGGGGAGCAAACAGGAUUAGAUACCCGAGUAGUC
rnacentral:rRNA from 1 species